AAAGGAAAACGGAAAAAGGGUUCUGCUUUAGAACGCAGAAAACGAAUUUCAAAAAGGAGGAGAAGAAGAAGAGGAAAAAAGGGCUGGAACCAAGCCUUGAGAAAACUUAAAUACGCACUGGUAUUUACGGGUUGAUUGGAGGAAUUUGUACGAGUUGCUUGAGGUGAAGCAAUUGGUAUUUCGGCACGAGUACUAGACAGCAGCUGACGCAGGCGAGGAUCUCGUUAAUUAGAGCGCACAGGUUAAGAAAUUUUGGUGAUCCUCGCACUUGUUCGCGUGGGCAGAGAUUUUAUUUACUGUUAUGGUCUUUCCAUUGAACUCUUAGAGUUGCUCCAUAGUUAGUAUUUUAGUGUCAUGAGUAUUCUUUUGUUAUUAUAGUCUUAUGUUGAGUAUUGUUCUCAUUUAUCAAAGUUGGAGAUAAAUUAGUAUUUCUAGCGGUUAGUUGGUGAUUUAGUUAUG